ACAAAUUAACCAUUCAUUUUUGACAGGAUUUUACAGAGGUGCUUCUCAUGCUUAAAUUGGAAUAAUGGCUCAAUAUUUGAAAAAAAGCCAGAAUAAUUGGACCACUCAAAACCAUUAAGUUGUUAUACAUUGUACUGCAGUCAACUUGGCAGCAAUGAACCUCUGAGCAAGUGUCAACUUAAAUGGAUGAAAUGUAAAGAUUACUUUUUACAGAAUGUCCAGGAAGUCUUCAAAUGCAGGAUAUAAGCUGACACAGAAGAAUUCCAAACUGUUCUCUUAUAGAGAUGUGAUUGGAGAACACAAUAUAUGUACUAGUGACCAAUGACUUGAGAAUUCCAUCUCCUUAGCCAGAAGAACUGCA